rnacentral:rRNA from 1 species
GGGUUGUGAGGUUAAGCGACUAAGCGUACACGGUGGAUGCCUAGGCAGUCAGAGGCGAUGAAGGGCGUGCUAAUCUGCGAUAAGCGUCGGUAAGCUGAUAUGAAGCGUUAUACCCGACGAUACCCGAAUGGGGAAACCCAGUGUGUUUCGACACACUAUCAUUACGUGAAUACAUAGCGUAAUGAGGCGAACCGGGGGAACUGAAACAUCUCAGUACCCCGAGGAAAAGAAAUCAACCGAGAUUCCCCUAGUAGCGGCGAGCGAACGGGGAGGAGCCCAGAACCUGAAUCAGUUUGUGUGUUAGUGGAAGCGUCUGGAAAGUCGCACAGUAAAGGGUGAUAGUCCCGUACACAAAAAUGCACAAAUUGUGAGUUCGAUGAGUAGGGCGGGACACGUGACAUCCUGUCUGAAUAUGGGGGGACCAUCCUCCAAGGCUAAAUACUCCUGACUGACCGAUAGUGAACCAGUACCGUGAGGGAAAGGCGAAAAGAACCCCGGCGAGGGGAGUGAAAUAGAACCUGAAACCGUGUACGUACAAGCAGUGGGAGCCUUGAUUAAUCAGGGUGACUGCGUACCUUUUGUAUAAUGGGUCAGCGACUUAUAUUCUGUAGCAAGGUUAACCGUAUAGGGGAGCCGCAGGGAAACCGAGUCUUAACUGGGCGUUAAGUUGCAGGGUAUAGACCCGAAACCCGGUGAUCUAGCCAUGGGCAGGUUGAAGGUUGGGUAACACUAACUGGAGGACCGAACCGACUAAUGUUGAAAAAUUAGCGGAUGACUUGUGGCUGGGGGUGAAAGGCCAAUCAAACCGGGAGAUAGCUGGUUCUCCCCGAAAGCUAUUUAGGUAGCGCCUCGUGAAUUCAUCUUCGGGGGUAGAGCACUGUUUCGGCUAGGGGGUCAUCCCGACUUACCAACCCGAUGCAAACUACGAAUACCGAAGAAUGUUAUCACGGGAGACACACGGCGGGUGCUAACGUUCGUCGUGAAGAGGGAAACAACCCAGACCGCCAGCUAAGGUCCCAAAGUCAUGGUUAAGUGGGAAACGAUGUGGGAAGGCACAGACAGCCAGGAUGUUGGCUUAGAAGCAGCCAUCAUUUAAAGAAAGCGUAAUAGCUCACUGGUCGAGUCGGCCUGCGCGGAAGAUGUAACGGGGCUAAACCAUGCACCGAAGCUGCGGCAGCGACACUUAGGUGUUGUUGGGUAGGGGAGCGUUCUGUAAGCCGUCGAAGGUGGCCUGUGAGGGCUGCUGGAGGUAUCAGAAGUGCGAAUGCUGACAUAAGUAACGAUAAUGCGGGUGAAAAACCCGCACGCCGGAAGACCAAGGGUUCCUGUCCAACGUUAAUCGGGGCAGGGUGAGUCGACCCCUAAGGCGAGGCUGAAAAGCGUAGUCGAUGGGAAACAGGUUAAUAUUCCUGUACUCGGUGUUACUGCGAAGGGGGGACGGAGAAAGCUAGGUUAUCCGGGCGACGGUUGUCCCGGUUUAAGCGUGAAGGUGGAUGACUUUGGUAAAUCCGGGUCGUCAUUAACACUGAGGCGUGAUGACGAGUCACUACGGUGAUGAAGUAACCGAUGCUACGCUUCCAGGAAAAGCCUCUAAGCUCCAGGUAACAUCAAAUCGUACCCCAAACCGACACAGGUGGUCAGGUAGAGAAUACUCAGGCGCUUGAGAGAACUCGGGUGAAGGAACUAGGCAAAAUGGUGCCGUAACUUCGGGAGAAGGCACGCUGAUGGUAGGUGAAGUGACUUGCUCACGGAGCUGAAAUCAGUCGAAGAUACCAGCUGGCUGCAACUGUUUAAUAAAAACACAGCACUGUGCAAACACGAAAGUGGACGUAUACGGUGUGACGCCUGCCCGGUGCCGGAAGGUUAAUUGAUGGGGUCAGCCGCAAGGCGAAGCUCUUGAUCGAAGCCCCGGUAAACGGCGGCCGUAACUAUAACGGUCCUAAGGUAGCGAAAUUCCUUGUCGGGUAAGUUCCGACCUGCACGAAUGGCGUAAUGAUGGCCAGGCUGUCUCCACCCGAGACUCAGUGAAAUUGAACUCGCUGUGAAGAUGCAGUGUACCCGCGGCAAGACGGAAAGACCCCGUGAACCUUUACUAUAGCUUGACACUGAACCUUGAGCCUUGAUGUGUAGGAUAGGUGGGAGGCUUUGAAGCGUGGACGCCAGUCUGCGUGGAGCCAACCUUGAAAUACCACCCUUUAAUGUUUGAUGUUCUAACGUGGGCCCGUAAUCCGGGUUGCGGACAGUGUCUGGUGGGUAGUUUGACUGGGGCGGUCUCCUCCCAAAGCGUAACGGAGGAGCACGAAGGUUAGCUAAUCCUGGUCGGACAUCAGGAGGUUAGUGCAAAGGCAUAAGCUAGCUUGACUGCGAGAGUGACAGCUCGAGCAGGUGCGAAAGCAGGUCUUAGUGAUCCGGUGGUUCUGAAUGGAAGGGCCAUCGCUCAACGGAUAAAAGGUACUCCGGGGAUAACAGGCUGAUACCGCCCAAGAGUUCAUAUCGACGGCGGUGUUUGGCACCUCGAUGUCGGCUCAUCACAUCCUGGGGCUGAAGUAGGUCCCAAGGGUAUGGCUGUUCGCCAUUUAAAGUGGUACGCGAGCUGGGUUUAGAACGUCGUGAGACAGUUCGGUCCCUAUCUGCCGUGGGCGUUGGAAGAUUGAGAGGGGUUGCUCCUAGUACGAGAGGACCGGAGUGAACGCACCACUGGUGUUCGGGUUGUGAUGCCAAUUGCAUUGCCCGGUAGCUAAGUGCGGAAGAGAUAACCGCUGAAAGCAUCUAAGCGGGAAACUUGCCUCGAGAUGAGUCUUCCCUGGACACUAGAUGUCCCUGAAGGGCCGUUGAAGACGACGACGUAGAUAGGCUGGGUGUGUAAGCGUAGCGAUACGUUGAGCUAACCAGUACUAAUGACCCGAGAGGCUUAACCUUACAACACCGAAGGUGUUU